rnacentral:tRNA from 3 species
GCUCCCAUAGGCUAAUGGAUAGACCAUGAGUUUCCGAAACUUAAAAUGAAGGUUCAAUUCCUUCUGGGAGCA